rnacentral:lncRNA from 1 species
ACCCCUACCUCCGUAUCCACCUCUAUCUGAUCCACCACGGCCUCCCCUCCAACUACCACCUCUUCCCCGGACACCAUAAGAAUCAGAUUGCUGGUCAUUGCCACCAAAACCACUGCCAGAAUUCCAGUUACUUUUGCUGCUCCAGGAAUCUUGAUUUCCAACGGCAUCCUCCUUUCCGCCCUUCCACAAAUUACUUUGACCCCAUCCUGUAGAUGAACCUCCAUCU